rnacentral:lncRNA from 1 species
GUGAUACUUAUGUUUCCUUUUACAGCAACUGGCUGGAAAAGACCAGACAGAAGUUUCGGAUAAAGUGCGAAUUGCCUCUACAGAUAGCAGAAGUGGAGGAAAAUGUUGUUAGGUAACAGUUUACAUGUCUUGGAAUUUCCCACCUGUACCAUAACCAACUAUGGAAAAGAAUAAAGUAGAGCUGGAAAGACUGACGACCUCUAGAACCUCACUUGUAGUCGCUACUGGGCUGAAGGUGUGUGGUCAGCAAGUGGACAUUGGUGACUUCUACAGUUAAUAAAGUGAUCCCAUUUUUUUCUUCUUCUCAUAAGUUCAAUACUUAUGUGAAGAUGAUUAUUAACUACCAAAACUGUUGUCUUUGAAAUUUAGAAAUAUUUUGUUAGGAUUUAAUGUGUACUGUGUUUUUAACAGAAAUUCCUGAUCUGCCCAAAGAUUGCUGAUAAAUUGCAUCCAUAUAUUCCAUAGAGAUGCUGGUGUUGGUAGUUUUAGCCUCUUCAGUCAUUUCUUUGCAUGAAAGUUUUUGAUAAGAAAAUAGAUAAUGUGGUUUAUGAGGUGGAGUUAAAUACCUUCUGUUUAAAAUGUGUAAGAAACCUUGUUUGUUUCAUUUCUUAUAGAAAAGGGAUAUUUGGUGUAUAUGAUGGUUGAAGAACACAAUAUUACAACUUGUUCGUAAUUGCUCUGUCAGUGUUUAAUUUAAAAACAGUUGUAUAUAACAGAAUAAAUCACAUUUUGAGUAUUAUAAUAAAAGAAAUUAUUCUUUAGUUGAUUAAUUAAAUGGUCACUAACUUUUAAAUGGCUUACACUAUUAAUUAAAAAGUAUUUUAACUUAUACCUUAAUACAUAUUCACAGUUGAAAGUAAGUUGUUAGUUCUUUGGGAUGUGUUGGUGAACGAUAAUUAAUACGUUAUUUCCGUAAAGGUUAAACAGUAAACUGUUAAGUUUCUGCUCUUAAAUGAAAUAAUAAAAUAUAAAAAUAAUAUAUUUUGUUUGUCUUAUGUAAUAUUAAAGAUCUGAAAUAUUGGGAUGCAAGUAGUUUAUUAUAAAAUUGUGUACUAUCAUCAGAUGUGAAGUUUAUUCUUUUUUUACUUGAAUCGCAUGGGUAAAAAACAUUAACACCAUUAAUAUCUUUGAAUUGUUAAAGCAUGGUUUCUGGAUUCACCUCAUGGUUUUAUUUUUGAAAUCUUUAAGAGAUUGAGGUCUACAUCUAAGUGGAAAUUAUUUCUUAUUACAAUUGAAACAAAAAAUUUAGAAAGACCAGUACAUUUGAAAUUUCCAUUGCAGGCAGAAUAAAAUCAAAGAGGAAAGUCUUUUGAGCCAAGAAAUACAGUUGGAUAAUGAAACAACAUAUUCUCCUGUAUUAAUGCUUAAGGGGAAAACUUAUGUUUGCUUUAAAGCUUUUUAACAGCUAUAAUGUAAGAGUAAAAAAGUGUGAAAACUGCUAAUUAUUUAGAGAGAAAAAAUAAUUUGGUUACAUAUACAAAUUUCUUCUUGAAAUUUAUUUUGAAGGUGUACUUGUUGUCAUAUUUAUAUAACAUUAAACAGUAUACCUCCCCAUUACCAACUUGUAAUACAAGCAAAAAUUUCAACAUUUAAAGAUCAAUAGAAGGUAUCUGGCUGUAACUUGGGGGGUUAACAAAAUACCCAUACCUAUUUUCACAUCCAAUAAAUGUGUGGACCAAACAUUUAGAAUUUAACAAUCCUAUUGCUUGUAAUGUUACAUUUUAUGGGUAGUUUAUACGCCUCCAAAAAUUGUUUCUGUAAGGCUAAGAAAACAGUUUGCAUUCUUUCUGUAACCUGAAGUCUUCUUAUCACCCAGAAUUAUAUGCAAGGGUAAGAAUAGUGGUUGUGAGAUAGAAACUAUAAAUACUACUUAAUAGCCAUUUGUGUUUGUCUCUGAAAACAAAGCACAUGAGUACUAUAUUAAAUACUACUCCUCUAAUGUGAACUACCCACCUAAUGAAGUAGUAGAUAAAGGUAGUACAGUAAUUCAUAUUUGCUGUUGAAUUAACUAAAAACAAACCAUGUGAUCUUUGAGUAAAUCUAUCACUGAUGUUGUGAAAAGCUUUACUAGAAGUGGGACUAAGAUUUGCCUUUUGAGCUCUGUGUCUUAAAGCUGCUUGUGUUGCCACUCUAUGCAGAUAUGAAAGUACUGCUCCCGUAAAAUAUUUAUUAAAUUGUAUUUUGCAUAAUCUUAAUGCUUUAACUUAUCAGAAUGAAAAUAAACGGUAAUUAAAAUGUAAUGUCCACAAAUUGCACAUUAGUAUAUAAAUGAUAAGCCAGGUAGUCAGCUUUAGCUACAUACCAAGUUUGUUUUCUUCUGAUUAACUGUGAGUAAACCAUACAUAAUUUUUAGAAGCUGUUUUCUUAGCAUGACAAUAGGGUCUCAAAAACACAACUUUAUAAGAAAAGUAUAUUUUAAUUGCAUUUUGCGAGUUAUCAUCAAGCAACUUAACAUUUUCAUUAUUGAAAUUACAUUGCUGCUAAUCAUUCUGCCAUACUAAAACUGAUAAAUGUACAUUUUUAUACUAGUAUAUAGGAUGAGGCUCGUAAUUAAAGAAGAUACUGAAUGUUGCACGUUUUUGAAAGUUUGUACACAACCUAAGUCUUAUUUUGGUAAAACAGAGUGUUAUAUUUUCUCUUUGUAUGUUUUGUCUACCUUUAUCAGUAGCUGACUGUGCAUAGAGAAACUUUGUACUAUAGAGAAAAUGUAAUGUUACUGAAUUAAAGCUGUAUACCUCUACACAUGUUUGUAUGAUAUCCUUGUAGUAUUACAGGAACUAAUAAAAUAUAAUGAUACCAAUGGGCA